rnacentral:rRNA from 1 species
GACGAACGCUGGCGGCGUGCCUAAUACAUGCAAGUAGAACGCACAGUUUAUACCGUAGCUUGCUACACCAUAGACUGUGAGUUGCGAACGGGUGAGUAACGCGUAGGUAACCUGCCUGGUAGCGGGGGAUAACUAUUGGAAACGAUAGCUAAUACCGCAUAAUAUUGAUUAUUGCAUGAUAAUUGAUUGAAAGAUGCUAUUGCAUCACUACCAGAUGGACCUGCGUUGUAUUAGCUAGUAGGGGAGGUAACGGCUCACCUAGGCGACGAUACAUAGCCGACCUGAGAGGGUGAUCGGCCACACUGGGACUGAGACACGGCCCAGACUCCUACGGGAGGCAGCAGUAGGGAAUCUUCGGCAAUAGACGCAAGUCUGACCGAGCAACGCCGCGUGAGUGAAGAAGGUUUUCGGAUCGUAAAGCUCUGUUGUAAGAGAAGAACGGGUGUGAGAGUGGAAAGUUCACACUGUGACGGUAUCUUACCAGAAAGGGACGGCUAACUACGUG